UACGGGGGGAGCAAGCGUUGUUCGGAUUUACUGGGCGUAAAGGGCGCGUAGGCGGUCAGCACAAGUCAGUUGUGAAAUCUCCGGGCUUAACUCGGAAAGGUCAACUGAUACUGUGCGACUAGAGUGCGGAAGGGGCAACUGGAAUUCCCAGUGUAGCGGUGAAAUGCGCAGAGAUCGGGAGGAACACCAAUGGCGAAAGCAGGUAACUGGACUAUUACUGACACUCAGCUGCGAAAGCUAGGGGAGCAAACAGG
rnacentral:rRNA from 1 species